GAUGAACGCUGGCGGCGUGCCUAAUACAUGCAAGUCGAGCGAACAGAUAAGGAGCUUGCUCCUUUGAAGUUAGCGGCGGACGGGUGAGUAACACGUGGGUAACCUACCUAUAAGACUGGGAUAACUUCGGGAAACCGGAGCUAAUACCGGAUAACAUUUAGAACCGCAUGGUUCUAAAGUGAAAGAUGGUUUUGCUAUCACUUAUAGAUGGACCCGCGCCGUAUUAGCUAGUUGGUAAGGUAACGGCUUACCAAGGCGACGAUACGUAGCCGACCUGAGAGGGUGAUCGGCCACACUGGAACUGAGACACGGUCCAGACUCCUACGGGAGGCAGCAGUAGGGAAUCUUCCGCAAUGGGCGAAAGCCUGACGGAGCAACGCCGCGUGAGUGAUGAAGGGUUUCGGCUCGUAAAACUCUUUUAUUAGGGAAGAACAAAUGUGUAAGUAACUGUGCACAUCUUGACGGUACCUAAUCAGAAAGCCACGGCUAACUACGUG
rnacentral:rRNA from 1 species